rnacentral:rRNA from 1 species
GAUGAACGCUGGCGGCGUGCCUAACACAUGCAAGUCGAACGAAGCGCCUUACCGGAUUCUUCGGAUGAAGGUCUGGUGACUGAGUGGCGGACGGGUGAGUAACGCGUGGGUAACCUGCCCUGUACAGGGGGAUAACAGCUGGAAACGGCUGCUAAUACCGCAUAAGCGCACGAGGAGACAUCUCCUUGUGUGAAAAACUCCGGUGGUACAGGAUGGGCCCGCGUCUGAUUAGCUGGUUGGCAGGGUAACGGCCUACCAAGGCAACGAUCAGUAGCCGGUCUGAGAGGAUGAACGGCCACAUUGGAACUGAGACACGGUCCAAACUCCUACGGGUGGCAGCAGUGGGGAAUAUUGCACAAUGGGGGAAACCCUGAUGCAGCAACGCCGCGUGAGUGAAGAAGUAUUUCGGUAUGUAAAGCUCUAUCAGCAGGGAAGAUAAUGACGGUACCUGUCUAAGAAGCUCCGGCUAAAUACGUG